GACGAACGCUGGCGGCGUGCUUAACACAUGCAAGUCACGGGGGCCCGCAAGGGCAACCGGCGAACGGGUGCGUAACACGUGAACGACCUGCCCUCGUGUGGGGGAUAGCCGGGCUAACGCCCGGGUAAUACCGCAUACGGUCAUCGGGAGGAGUCUCCUGGUGAAGAAAGCUCCGGCGCACGGGGAGGGGUUCGCGGCCUAUCAGCUAGUUGGUGCGGUAACGGCGCACCAAGGCGACGACGGGUAGCUGGCUGAGAGGAUGGCCAGCCACAUUGGGACUGAGAGACGGCCCAGACUCCUACGGGAGGCAGCAGUGGGGAAUCUUGCGCAAUGGCCGAAAGGCUGACGCAGCGACGCCGCGUGUGGGAGGACGCCUUUCGGGUGU
rnacentral:rRNA from 1 species